GAUGAAGAACGCAGCGAAAUGCGAUAAGUAGUGUGAAUUGCAGAAUUCAGUGAAUCAUCGAAUCUUUGAACGCACAUUGCGCCCCAUGGUAUUCCGUGGGGCAUGCCUGUUCGAGCGUCAUUUACCCCCUCAAGCUCCGCUUGGUGUUGGGCGUCUGUCCCGCUUCGCGCGCGGACUCGCCCCAAAGGUAUUGGCAGCGGUCGUGCCAGCUUCUCGCGCAGCACAUUGCGCUUCUCGAGGCACCGGUGGGCCCGCGUCCAUCAAGCUUACCCCCCCAGUUUGACCUCGGAUCAGGUAGGGAUACCCGCUGAACUUAAGCAUAUCAAUAAGCGGAGGA
rnacentral:misc_RNA from 1 species